rnacentral:rRNA from 1 species
AUUGAACGCUGGCGGCAGGCCUAACACAUGCAAGUCGAGCGGCAGCGGGUCCUUCGGGAUGCCGGCGAGCGGCGGACGGGUGAGUAAUGCCUAGGAAUCUGCCUGGUAGUGGGGGAUAACGUUCGGAAACGGACGCUAAUACCGCAUACGUCCUACGGGAGAAAGCGGGGGAUCUUCGGACCUCACGCUAUCAGAUGAGCCUAGGUCGGAUUAGCUAGUUGGUGGGGUAAAGGCUCCCCAAGGCGACGAUCCGUAACUGGUCUGAGAGGAUGAUCAGUCAAACUGGAACUAGGAAACGGUCCAGACUCCUACGGGAGGCAGCAGUGGGGAAUGUUGGACAAUGGGCGAAAGGCUGAUCCAGCCAUGCCGCGUGUGUGAAGAAGGUCUUCGGAUUGUAAAGCACUUUAAGUUGGGAGGAAGGGCAGUAAGUUAAUACCUUGCUGUUUUGACGUUACCAACAGAAUAAGCACCGGCUAACUUCGUGCCAGCCGCCGCUGUAAAAC